rnacentral:lncRNA from 1 species
CCUUGGCACUUUGAGGCCUCUGUCGUGCAAGAUGAUUGACCUCGCUUGGGGGAAGAGCUGGACAUCUAUCAAAUCUUUUGUCUCAUCUUCUGAAAACAAGAAUGGAGGAGAAAAUUGCAGGCAGGAAGAAGCUUUGAUCAAAAGCAAAGGGCAAAGACUCCGAGGUCAAGGGCUAUGAAGGAGCUGCUGAUGCAUGUGGCUACGCGGUCUGCAUUGAAUUUACUAAUUGGUGAAUAGUAUGAAUUAUAUUAAUUAGUAUGGUAGAAAAUUUAUUUUACUAGGAGAGAUUUCUAAUACUGCUAAGACUAGCCAGGCCAAGUGUUUUGAAAGCUGUACGGUCAGUCCUCCAUCAGCUUGGGGAAAAGAGUAUGCAAAUCCAUAAGAAAGCACUGAAAAUCUUUAUGAAAACUGUGUGUUAUUAAUGUCUAAAAUCCCCCUAACCAUGUGAGUAAGGAGCAGCAACCUGGUUAUAUGGAAAAAAAACCCUACGAAAAAGGGUACUGAAGCUAUUUUAAUUGAUUGUUCAGUCACCUGCAAAUGAUGCCCCUGGCUAUGAGAUGCAAAUUUGUCUCAAAAUAUUCUUGUUGUUCAUAUGAUGAGAGAAAAUGUCUGCUGUACUUUGAAUCUCAAUAAGCUUGGCUUGAGAAUCCUCUCCUCUGCACGCAUUGAAUUAUACAUAUGAAUAUAUAUGUGUGUGUGUGUAUAUAUAGCAUGUGCGUAUAUGUAUAUAUGAAUUAUAUAUAUUUGAAUGUACACACAAUAUCUAUAUAUAUAAAACAUUGACGCCUUGUAGAAACUGCUAAAAGGAAAAAAAAGAUAACUCAGUUUGCAUCAGUUUUUGCAACUGGUUGAAUACAUGGGCAUUAGCCCAAGAAAAGUACUAGUUCUCACUUUCUUUAUUAAUCUGUACUUUAUAUGUUAUCCACACAUCAAGUCAAGCAUCCCGCAGAAAGAACAAUGACGGUUUUGGAGAAUCUUUGCUGUUCCCUGCUGUGUGAUGGGGGGAAAAAAGAAGACAAAGAUGAGAAAUGGCAGGCAGAUAACUUCACCAUUGCUUGUUUAAGCAGAUCCUCCUUCGUAAAAGUGACUAAUGUUUCCUUACAGGUGAGGCAAUGAGGAACGGGAUGUUUUUGUUGCACUUUUUGUGAAAUUCCUAUACCUUUUGGAAAAAUUCAGCUGUAGACCAUGAUGUCAGGCAAUUGGAAGUAGAGAUGCGACUCUUGCCACAGUUUGUCUUCUAGGUCAUCCCCUCAAAUACUGGAAUAUUUGCUAAACAUGGCAGUUUUCCCAGUGUUUUAUCCAAUGAUAUCUUAAAUUAUCUAAAUUACAGGGUUGGUCCUACUUCUCUUGAGAGACACUGUUCCACAGUGUAAUACAUCUCUCUGUCAGAGAUGUCUUCACAUCAUUUUAAGUUAUACCCCUUUAGAUUACCCUGCGUUAAGUCUUCCUGCUUCAUCUCGCCCAUCAAAUAUUUAUGUGGUUCACCUUUUUAUUCAUUACGUAGCAAACUUAAUAUCUAGCUCAGUGUUAGUGGAUCCGUAUGAAUCCUCAAAUCUUUCAGUAUUUUUCAUAAGUGUUUUUUUUAGCUCAGAGCGUGAUUGGAUUCCUAUUGCAGAAAAAUGAUUAUUUUUUCAAAGGGUAUAUUACCCUAAACAUACUAGGACUAUGUCUGUACUACUUUAUACCUCAUGCAGUGUCAGUGAUUUCACUAGUAUUAAAUAAGUGCAGAAAUUGGUCUGUGGGGCUCUUCUUGCACUUUGGGCAGCACUUGGUAAUCUAAAGUGACAUCUAACUGCAAAACAGCAAAAUGCAGUGAGCCAGAACACAGUGACUUUGCAAAAGCAUCUUUCCUGCUUCAUCAUCUGUUUUUUGAAGAGGCAGAAGAGGUAAGGUUGGUCUAUGGUGCAGAAGGAAAAAAGUGCAUGCAUGUCUGUACACGUUGAUCUCUGUGUGCAUGAGUGUACGUACGUAUGGAUGGCAAAGAGCAAUGGAGCUGCUUGCUGAGAGGAUGAAUCAAGUGUAAAAGAGAAAUCAGUAAUAACUGAUGUUUUGCGUUAAUAUUUUUGUGGGUUCUUUUGCUGCAGUUAGAAUGGGAAAUGCAUACCUCCUGCCAUUU